GGUGAACGCUGGCGGUAGGCCUAACACAUGCAAGUCGAACGGCAGCACAGGAGAGCUUGCUCUCUGGGUGGCGAGUGGCGGACGGGUGAGGAAUACAUCGGAAUCUACUCUGUCGUGGGGGAUAACGUAGGGAAACUUACGCUAAUACCGCAUACGACCUACGGGUGAAAGCCGGGGAUCUUCGGACCUUGCGCGAUUGAAUGAGCCGAUGUAGGAGUAGCUAGUUGGCGGGGUAAAGGCCCACCAAGGCGACGAUCCGUAGCUGGUAUGAGAGGAUGAUCAGCCACACUGGAACUGAGACACGGUCCAGACUCCUACGGGAGGCAGCAGUGGGGAAUAUUGGACAAUGGGCGCAAGCCUGAUCCAGCCAUACCGCGUGGGUGAAGAAGGCCUUCGGGUUGUAAGGCCCUUUUGUUGGGAAAGAAAUCCAGCUGGCUAAUACCCGGUUGGGAUGACGGUACCCAAAGAAUAAGCACCGGCUAACUUCGUGCCAGCCGCCGCCGUAA
rnacentral:rRNA from 1 species